CUACGGGCCGCAGCAGUGGGGAAUAUUGCACAAUGGGCGCAAGCCUGAUGCAGCCAUGCCGCGUGUAUGAAAAAGGCCUUCGGGUUGUAAAGUACUUUCAGCGGGGAGGAAGGGAGUAAAGUUAAUACCUUUGCUCAUUGACGUUACCCGCAGAAGAAGCACCGGCUAACUCCGUGCCAGCAGCCGCGGUAAUACGGAGGGUGCAAGCGUUAAUCGGAAUUACUGGGCGUAAAGCGCACGCAGGCGGUUUGUUAAGUCCGAUGUGAAAUCCCCGGGCUCAACCUGGGAACUGCAUCUGAUACUGGCAAGCUUGAGUCUCGUAGAGGGGGGUAGAAUUCCAGGUGUAGCGGUGAAAUGCGUAGAGAUCUGGAGGAAUACCGGUGGCGAAGGCGGCCCCCUGGACGAAGACUGACGCUCAGGUGUGAAAGCGUGGGGAGCAAACAGGAUUAGAUACCCUUGUAGUC
rnacentral:rRNA from 1 species